ACGGCUCAGUAACACGUGGAUAACCUGCCCAAAAGUCCGGGAUACCCCCGGGAAACUGGGGUUAAGACCGGAUGGGCCACUACGUCUGGAAUGUGUGGUGGUUUAAACGCGAGGCUUUUGGAUGGGUCUGCGGCGGAUUAGGUGGACGCCGGUGUAACGUACCGGCGUGCCGGUCAUCCGUACGGGUUGUGGGAGCAAGAGCCCGGAGAUGGAUUCUGAGACACGAAUCCAGGCCCUACGGGGCGCAGCAGGCGCGAAAACUCUACAAUGCAGGCAACUGCGAUAGGGGGACAUCGAGUGAUACCCACCUUGGGUAUCUGUCCCACCGUCUAAAAAACGGUGGUUAGCAAGGGCCGGGUAAGACCGGUGCCAGCCGCCGCGGUAAUACCGGCGGCUCGAGUGGUGGCCGAUAUUAUUGAGUCUAAAGGGUCCGUAGCCGGCUCCGCAAGUCCCCUGGGAAAUCCAGCGGCCUAACCGUUGGGCGCCCAUGGGAUACUACGUUGCUUGGGACUGGGAGAGGUGGGAGGUACUCGGGGGGUAGGGGUGAAAUCCUGUAAUCCUCCGGGGACCACCGGUGGCGAAGGCGUCCCACCAGAACAGGUCCGACGGUGAGGGACGAAAGCUAGGGGCACGAACCGGAUUAGAUACCCGGGUAGUCCUAGCCGUAAACGAUGCCCGCUAGGUGUCACGGCGGUCGUGAAUCGCCGUGGUGCCGUAGGGAAGCCGCGAAGCGGGCCACUUGGGAAGUACGGCCGCAAGGCUGAAACUUAAAGGAAUUGGCGGGGGAGCAC
rnacentral:rRNA from 1 species